UUAUAAUAUACCUACCUACGGUAUGGUACGGUAAAAGCACUAUGCAAAUGUAAUUUUGACUCGAUUCAUAGGUUUAAUAUGUUAGCUUCAUCAAUAUGUUAUAUCAUAUUAAAAACAAUUAGGUUUAAAAAAAAAAAAAAAAAAAUCCAAUACAAUAUUGUGUAUAACAAGAAAAUAAAUUUUAAUUUAAAACGCCUGUAAAACAUGUACACAAACUAUAGGUAUAUAAUACCUACUAAUGAAAGUCAUUCUGCACGAAUUCAUGAGUAGUACGCAAAAUGUUUAUGAUUUUUUUUUAUAAUAACUUUUGUCAACCUUCGAAUUUCAAACGAGUGUUUUCAGGGAGAGUAGCGGAGAAAAGAUUUUAUAAGCAGGGUCAUUCAUGGUAGGGGGGAGGGGACAACGGGCCAUUUUUCCAUUUUGCUUAAUUUGUGCAAAUAAGUUUACGGAUCCCAAUCUUGAAAUUGAAAUGUAUAGGAUAUGAUACAUUAGGCAAAUAACGAGCUGCUUACGUAGUGAUACAGU